rnacentral:rRNA from 1 species
UCAACAACGGAUCUCUUGGUUCUGGCAUCGAUGAAGAACGCAGCGAAAUGCGAUAAGUAAUGUGAAUUGCAGAAUUUAGUGAAUCAUCGAAUCUUUGAACGCACAUUGCGCCCCUCGGUAUUCCGGGGGGCAUGCCUGUUCGAGCGUCAUUA